AGAAGAAGAAGAAGAAGAAGACAAUCAGACCCAUAAUUACACCUCCUCCUCACGCGGUUUCUUUGUGUCUUGAUUUGGGAGAUGAACAAGGAACGCCCUCCUGAGCCUCUUGAUUUCUUCAUUUGGACUGUCGAGAGUUCGAAGAUGAUCCUCACCUUUAUGUGUUAAAGCCAACAAAUGAUUUCGUUUCUUUGGGAUGCCCCAAUUCUCCUUUAUGUUUGGUAACAGAGAGAUUUGAGGUCAUUUUUCUUUGUGGAAAAUAUAGUUAGAAGCCUAUGAUGAUAAUUUAGUUUAAAAAAAAUGCGAAACCCAUUGCUGAAGCACCUGAGAUUGAAGAAACAUAUAUGAGUUCUCAGAUUCAUUCAAAUGCUUCAGAUGUCAAAGUUGGUAAGUAAUUUAAUAGGUGAUAUAUGCUGAGAUAUGUAUGACUACAUUCACUUGCUUGUCAUUUCUGUUGUGCUUUUAAUUUUGCUUCAAGGCACUUAGAUAUAUAUGACUACAUGACGAAUCAUUUGUUGAAAAAUCACUUUUAUGUAUUAUGUUGUUCAACUUGAUCCUUUGUUCAUGGAUGGGCAUUCCUUUGAGAGUCCAGGGUACUUUAUGACUUUAAAAGA